rnacentral:rRNA from 1 species
AUUGAACGCUGGCGGCAGGCCUAACACAUGCAAGUCGGACGAGUGGCGGACGGGUGAGUAAUGUCUGGGACACUGCCUGAUGGCGGGGGAUAACUACUGGAAACGGUAGCUAAUACCGCAUACCAUCAGAUGUACCCAUAUGGGAUUAGCUUGUAGGUGGGGUAACGGCUCACCCAGGCGACGAUCCCUAGCUGGUCUGAGAGGAUGGUCAGCCACACUGGGACUGAGACACGGCCCAGACUCCUACGGGAGGCAUCAGUGGGGAAUAUUGCACAAUGGGCGCAAGCCUGAUGCAGCCAUGCCGCGUGUAUGAAGAAGGCCUUCGGGUUGUAAAGUACUUUCAGUCGGGAGGCGUUACCGACAGAAGAAGCACCGGCUAACUCCGUGCCAGCAGCCGCGGUAAUAC